UCACACCCGUUCCCAUUCCGAACACGGCAGUUAAGCUCUUCAGCGCCGAUGGUAGUUGGGGGUUUCCCCCUGUGAGAGUAGGACGUCGCCAAGC
rnacentral:rRNA from 1 species